rnacentral:rRNA from 1 species
GGGGAGCUUUGGCACAGGUUGCUGCAUGGCUGUCGUCAGCUCGUGUCGUGAGGUUGUUCGGUUAAGUCCGCUAACGAGCGCAACCCUCGUCUAUGUUAUAUGUGUCGUACGAGACUGCCGGUAAAAAGCCGGAGGAAGGUGAGGAUGAUGUCAAGUCAGCAUGACCUUUAUAUCCAGGGCUACACACACGCUACAAUGGUCUGUACAAUGGGUAGCCAAGCCGCGAGGCGGAGCCAAUCCUGAAAGCAGGCCUCAGUUCAGAUUGCAGUCUGCAACUCGACUGCAUGAAGCCGGAGUUGCUAGUAACCGCAGGUCAGCAAUACUGCGGUGAAUACGUUCCCGGGUCUU